CAUAAAGUGAAAAAAUCAUGUAUAUAGAUUCACAUCAUUACAUUACAUAAAGUACAAUUUCUGACUUAGCCACAUUAUUUUCUCAACACUAAUGUUAUUAAAUUAGUUGCUUUAUCAAACCUUGCAGAUGUCAUCACUGUUAGCACGACAAUUUACCAAGCUGUAGUUAAUCAGUGCAGUUUGCUGACCAUGGUUUAGAGAGAAAGAGAAAUGCCAAAGCCCUGUUAAAGUGGUUCUGUUGCAGCUCAAAGAACAAGAGCUUCGUGUCUCAGGUAAAUGAAAACAGCUAAUUCCCCUCCCUUAUCAGUAGAAAUAGUCGGAUAAAGAAUAACUAGACAGUCUAUGCACUCACCAGACUCCAUAGCUCCUAAUGAAUAACGGAGAGGUUUACCUUCUUCUGCUUCAAAGUUGGAGAGUGUGGACCAUGUAUGUGUCCAAUUGGAGGUUUUCAGCUACAGUGUCUUCACUCAGAGAUAAGCAGUCUCUUCACAACAUAUUUUCUAAAAUAUCCUCAUGCUCAGUUUUAAGACAGAGCAAAUUUCACACUCGGUGCACUCCACAUUCUCUUUGCUGCACACAUCUUUCCUUGACAAGUUAUGAAGAAGUCCCAGCAGGUGGUUCACACUAUUUACUGAAUGAUGCUGGGAAAUACUACACUACUGCGUGUCAUCCUGCAACCUGUAUUUCCGAUUCAGUGACUGCUGCUACAAAAUCAAAAGCAAGAAUGACAGCACUAUUAGGUUGUGUUUGGAGCUGUGUGUGUGUGUGUGUGUGUGUGUGUGUAACAAUGAUUUAGGGGCCGGUGCUGUGACGUAACAGGUAAAGCCACCGCCUGCAAUGCCGGCAUCCCAUCUGUCCUGGGUGCUCCCCUUCCCAUCCAGUUCGCUGCUAUGGCCUGGGCAAUCAACUGCUGCUUCCCAUGCUCAUUAGCACAGAACUGGAUCAGAAGUAGAGCAGCUGGAACUAGAACUGAGCAUUCCAAGUGGAUGCUGAACACACUGCGCCACUUUUCCUGCCCACUUUGAUCCAUUUUGAAGUCAUUUUUGUAUAGUGAGAGUUAAAGCAAAGUUAAGUCUUUAAAAAAAAAGAUUAAAUUUUCUGCAAAUCCAAUUUUCUCAUAAGAAUCUAUGGAAGAGCUUGCCUUUCUCCAAUAUAUGUUUUUGGCAUCUUCACUGAUAAUCAGUUGGCUGUAGAUGCAUGGAUUUAUUUCUAGCAUCUCUCUUCUGUUCCAUUGAUCUAUGUAGCAGCACCAUGAUGCUUUAGUUAGUAUAGUGCUUAGUAUGCACUGAGGCUUGGUAUUGUGAUGCCUCUGGCUUAUAAAGUUUGCUCAAGAUUGCAUUGGCUAUUUGGAGUCUUCUGUGUUUCCAUACAAUUUUAGGAUUUUUUUCCAGUUCUGUGAAGAAUGCCAUUGGUAUUUGGAUGGCAAUUACGUUAAAUCUGUAAAUUAUUUGCAAUAUUAUGAAAAUUUUAACACUAUUAAUUCUAAGUCUUCCAAUUCGUGAACAUGAGAGGUCUUUCUACUUUUGAAUGUCUUCUUCA
rnacentral:lncRNA from 1 species